rfam:Nematostella vectensis strain CH2 x CH6 NEMVEscaffold_1791_Cont38707, whole genome shotgun sequence.
GACUACGUGGCGCAUUGGUAGCGCGUCUGACUCCAGAUCAGAAGGUUGCGUGUUCAAAUCACGUCGGGGUCA